AGCGAACGCUGGCGGCAGGCUCAACACAUGCAAGUCGAGCGGGCACUUUCGGGUGUCAGCGGCGGACGGGUGAGUAACGCGUGGGAACGUGCCCUCUGGUUCGGAAUAACUCAGGGAAACUUGAGCUAAUACCGGAUACGCCCUUUUGGGGAAAGGCUUGCUGCCGGAGGAUCGGCCCGCGUCUGAUUAGCUAGUUGGUGAGGUAACGGCUCACCAAGGCGACGAUCAGUAGCUGGUCUGAGAGGAUGAUCAGCCACACUGGGACUGAGACACGGCCCAGACUCCUACGGGAGGCAGCAGUGGGGAAUAUUGGACAAUGGGCGCAAGCCUGAUCCAGCCAUGCCGCGUGAGUGAUGAAGGCCUUAGGGUUGUAAAGCUCUUUUAUCCGGGACGAUAAUGACGGUACCGGAGGAAUAAGCCCCGGCUAACUUCGUG
rnacentral:rRNA from 1 species